rnacentral:tRNA from 10 species
GGGCGGUUAGUCUCAGUUGGUAGAGCACUCGCUUCACACGCGAGGGGUCACAGGUUCGAGUCCUGUACCGCCCA